rnacentral:rRNA from 1 species
AUACGGGAGGCAGCAGUAAGGAAUUUUGCGCAAUGGGCGAAAGCCUGACGCAGCAACGCCGCGUGGGGGAUGAAGGCUCUCGGGUCGUAAACCCCUUUUGCCGGGGAAGAUAAUGACGGUACCCGGCGAAUAAGCCACGGCUAACUACGUGCCAGCAGCCGCGGUAAUACGUAGGUGGCAAGCGUUGUCCGGAUUUAUUGGGCGUAAAGAGCGCGCAGGCGGUGCGCCAAGUCCGAGGUGAAAUCUCCCGGCUCAACUGGGAGGGGUCUUCGGAUACUGGCGGACUCGAGGAGAGCAGAGGUGAGUGGAAUUCUGGGUGUAGUGGUGAAAUGCGUAGAUAUCCAGAGGAACACCAGCGGCGAAGGCGGCUCACUGGGCUCCACCUGACGCUGAGGCGCGAAAGCGUGGGGAGCGAACCGGAUUAGAUACCCGGGUAGUCC